GAGAAGAGAGAGGCUAGAGAAAAGGAGGCAAAGAAAAAUGUAAAGUUUAUUGAUGUUACAAAGAGAUGAGAUACAAGAGAAGAAAUAUAUAGGAAAAGAGACUGAAACAGAAUAACAAAAAGGUGUAGGCCAAACAGUAAACUGAGCGGUCUAGGUAAGUGAGACCGAACAUUGUACUGAACCUUCACAAGACCGAACAAUCAAGUGGCUUGUGCACCGAAUCAACACAGCCGAGCGGUUCAAGUUAAUGAGACCGAACGAUGCAAUGAAUC
rnacentral:lncRNA from 1 species